UACGUAGGGGGCAAGCGUUGUCCGGAAUCACUGGGCGUAAAGCGCGCGCAGGCGGUCAUCUACGUCUGGGGUGAAAGCCCGGAGCUCAACUCCGGGAUUGCCUUGGAUACGGGAUGACCUGAGGAUCGGAGAGGCAAGGGGAAUUCCACGUGUAGCGGUGAAAUGCGUAGAGAUGUGGAGGAACACCUGUGGCGAAGGCGCCUUGCUGGCCGAUUUCUGACGCUGAGGCGCGAAAGCGUGGGGAGCAAACAGG
rnacentral:rRNA from 1 species